rnacentral:rRNA from 1 species
GGAUGAACGCUAGCGGGAGGCUUAACACAUGCAAGUCGAGGGGUAAAUGGCAGCAAUGCUAUGAGACCGGCGAACGGGUGCGUAACGCGUAUGCAACUUACCUUAUGCAGGGGGAUAGCCCGUGGAAACGCGGAUUAAUAUCCCAUAGAUCAGUGGUAUCGCAUGGUACAGCUGGUAAAGCUCAGGUGGCAUAAGAUGGGCAUGCGUCUGAUUAGCUGGUUGGUAGGGUAACGGCCUACCAAGGCGACGAUCAGUAGGGGUUCUGAGAGGAUUAACCCCCACACUGGUACUGAGACACGGACCAGACUCCUACGGGAGGCAGCAGUGAGGAAUAUUGGUCAAUGGGCGGAAGCCUGAACCAGCCAUCCCGCGUGAAGGAAGAAGGCCUUAUGGGUUGUAAACUUCUUUUCUGUUUGAAGAAUAAGCUAGUCGUGACAAGUGAUGCCGGUAGGACAGGAAUAAGCAUCGGCUAACUCCGUGCCAGCAGCCGCGGUAAUACGGAGGAUGCAAGCGUUAUCCGGAUUUAUUGGGUUUAAAGGGUGCGCAGGUGGUUUAAUAAGUCAGUGGUGAAAGUCUGCCGCUUAACGGUAGGAUUGCCAUUGAUACUGUUGGACUUGAAUAUGGAUGAGGUAGGCGGAAUGUGUAGUGUAGCGGUGAAAUGCUUAGAUAUUACACAGAACACCGAUUGCGAAGGCAGCUUACUAAUCCAUGAUUGACGCUGAGGCACGAAAGCGUGGGGAUCAAACAGGAUUAGAUACCCUGGUAGUCCACGCUGUAAACGAUGAUCACUCGCUGUUUGCGAUAUACAGUAAGCGGCUAAGCGAAAGCGUUAAGUGAUCCACCUGGGGAGUACGAUCGCAAGGUUG